UACGGGGGGGGCAAGCGUUGUUCGGAAUUACUGGGCGUAAAGGGUUCGUAGGUGGCCUGCUAAGUCAGACGUGAAAUCCCUCGGCUUAACCGGGGAACUGCGUCUGAGACUGGCGGGCUUGAGUACAGGAGAGGAACGCGGAAUUCCACGUGUAGCGGUGAAAUGCGUAGAGAUGUGGAGGAACACCAGUGGCGAAGGCGACUCUUUGGCCUGUAACUGACGCUGAGGCGCGAAAGCGUGGGGAGCAAACAGG
rnacentral:rRNA from 1 species